rnacentral:pre_miRNA from 1 species
GGAAUGUCGCGGGAGCCAACGUUUCGACAAUAACCCACGCUUGUCGAAACGUUGGCUCCCGCGACAUUCC